AGCUGUCUGGCAUUGAAGGUUUGCUUCCUUGACGAACCGUUGUUGUAAAGCCGCGAGACUAUCACGAUGGCCUAGUAGUAGCAGAUCGCGUGACCAAGCUAGAUAUGCCUCAGUUCAGUGGCUUGGGAACUGAUAUGAUACGAGAAAGGAGGAAAGGAGCCUGACUCCGCAAGUCCGCGUUCGGCGGUGCUACAGCAGCGGAGGUUUCUGGACUUCCGGCGAUUGCCGGCGACUGGCGACAUGUCGAUCCCCUUUUCUCUUUGAUUUCCUCCCUUAUCCCCGUGCUUCCUCUUGCACUCUUCUCCCUGUUCCUCCGCUCUGUUCCUCGCCUCCAUCUCCCACUGCUGCUCUCGCUCGCUCUGUUCCCAGAUCCCUUUUCUUGCUUCUUUGCCGGCGGCGAUCUACCCAGUCGGAUCUAGUGCUGGUUCCCCCCUCCCCUAGCCCUGCUCUCUCCUUGCCCUGUCCUCCCUCUGUCCUCUCCGUCCUCCCUGCCGUGUUCGCCCCACCUCCCAUGGCUUCCCUCCUCGCCUGUCAAGACUCCCUUGUUUCCCUUUGCCGGACUUGGAGGGUCGGGUUUCGGUGCUAGUUUGGUAAGCGGAGAGGCCUCUCUGCUGGUUUGGGUUGGUCCAUCUCAAUCUGGAGUAGUUGAGGUGGGCGGUGGCUGGAGUUAGGCUGACCCUAUCGCGCCUCGUGCGCCAUGAAGGCCAUAGCUUGGAACUGUCGAGGUAUGGGCAGGGGCCUCGGCAGUGAGCACAUGCUAUACCUUGCAAAUUUGAUGCGGCCCACUAAUGUUCAGGUAACUUUUGUUUCAGAAAUUAAAUCUUCCAAAGUCCGUUCAGUUGAUCUUGUCAAUAGGUUUGAUGUGUCCAAUGCAUUUGUUGUUCCUUCUAGAGGUGCCUCGGGUGGUCUUUGGCUUAUGUGGACCGAUGAACUCAAAGUUUCUAUUCAUACAGCUGCUUUUCACUAUACUUUAGCUAAUGUAGUCCAUGUAGCUUCUGGGGUCAACUUUUGCCUGAUUUGUAUAUAUGGUGACCCGUAUCAUAGGCAGACUAAUGCCAUCUGGGACCAAGUUACUACUUUUGUAUAUGAUAAUUUAGGUAAACCCAUGGUUUCUAUGGGUGACUUGAAUGAUAUCCUGUAUGAUGUGGAUGGUUGUAAUGGUAAUAUCAACUACUAUCGUAUGCAUGCUUUCCGGUCGCUUGUUAAAAAUUGUGGCUUGUUUGACAUUGGUUACAGUGGCCCUGCUUAUACUUGGUGUGGUAGACAGAAUACUUCCAAACCUAUUCAUAGACGCCUUGAUCGUUGUUUGGUUAACUCUGAAUGGUGCUCUUAUUAUCCCAAUACCAAAGUGUUGAACCUUCCCAUCAUUCUCAGUGAUCAUGCUCCUAUUUUAAUUUCUACAGAGAGUCAAUUUGUGAAACCUAAGCAAACUUUCAAAUUUGAAAAUUGGUGGUUCAUGGAGAAAGACUUUCACUCUUUUGCUAAAAAUACUUGGAAUGCUUGUACUCUCACUUCUUUUGUUGCAAAGUCUUCCUCUUUGGCAGGGUCUUUAAAAACUUGGUGUAAAAAUAAAAAAACCCUUCAGCAGAACCUUGCGGACUUGGAGUCAAAGAUUAAUGAGCUGCAGCAGCUUCCUCUUCAGCAGCAAAAUCAUGAUUUGGAAAGUUCUCUCAUUGCUAGAUUCUUAAAGACAUGAAACUCAAUGCUUCUCCAGGGCCGGAUGGGUUCAAUGUGGAAUUCUAUUUAGCUACUUGGGAUUGGAUUGGGGAUGAGGCCAAUCAUCUUCGGGGAAUUUCUCUUGGACCAAAUUGCGCUUCUGUGCAUUCCCUCCUUUUUGUAGAUGAUCUUUUGGUUUGUGGACAGGCUACUUGUCAGGAAGCUCAGACCAUGGCUAGCCUGAUUCAACACUUUUGUGAUCUUUCCGGUUGGGACCCCUGCGUAGUAUGCGCGACGGCUAUGCGGAGGGGGAAUUUUUGGUCUUUUUUCAGGGAAUUAGACUGAUUGGUUGGUGUUAGCGAACCGAAUGCUCACCUUUACCUUUUUUUUCAUCAUGAUGAUGAUAUAUUGUUUUGGUAUUAGUCAGAUGGCAACUUUACCUUUUUUUCCUUCUUCAUCGUGAUAUAUCCUAAGACAUGUCAUUUUUUUUCUUUUUUGUCCUGCACAUAUUGAUGGUGACAUGGUGAUUUUAAAUGGUUUUAUUCAAUUCAAUAAUUUCAAAAUAUAGAACUAAUUUAGGGAUUUCAUUGUACCGUUGGCAUGACAAUUUUGUUUUCCACAAUUACUGUAAUCGUGAGAAUGGCAACUUCUUUUCAGAAAUAUGAGUGGUAGAUAGUUACAUUUGUUUAAAAAAUGUGGUAGUUUUACUCACUUUCUUUCUUUGUGACAUAGGCAUAGCGGUGAAUAAAUGAUUUUUUUCUUCUAUUUUCACAAAUUAAGGCAUUUUUUAUCUAAUCAUUUUAUAUAUGAUGAUAUUUUUGUUAUAUAUGUCAUGGCAUUUUUGUUCAGCCACUGAAAGUCAAGUCAAAACAUCACUUUUUAGACUUGGUAUUAGUUCAUAGCAAAUUGGGCUUUUCUUAGGCCAACUGAGAUAGUUAUGACAACAACAAAGUAAGUACUAUAAAGAGAAGGGUUGUCUCCAUCGUUCGCUCUAGGAGAACUAUCUGUUCGUUGGCGCCUCCUCUCCUGGGGAACAUUCUCUAGAUAUUCGCAUCCAAGAACGACAACAAUAACGGGGGUGCCCAUAGAGAUAUAGUCUGCGUGCGUGCGUGCGUGCAUGCGUUCAUAAAGUGAGUGUAUGUGUGUUCAUAAAGUGAGUAUAUACGUGUGAUUGUAUGGUGUUUCAAAAAAAAUAUCUCAUGAAGGGAAAAGUAAAAAAAGAAUUUCACCGUGGCAGAAGCAAGCAAAGAGCGGGCCGGCCGGUUGUGGAGCAAGGCAGCAGGCAAAGAGAGAAGGCCGGGCCGGGCCGGGCCUUAGGCUAUAUACACGGGAGCCCACGCCCCAGCCGGUCGGUGGACGGACAUUUUUUCUCCCCAACCAGCAAGGAAGAGGAAGAGGAAGCGGAUCGAGUCGGCGAGAGCGAGGGCGAGGACGAUGGCGGCGCUCCGGCUAGCGUUGAGGAGGUUUUGCGACCGUGCGCUCGGGAGAUCAGCGGGCAUUUACGAGCUCAAGGCUGCCAAGGAAUUCCCCGACAUUGAUCCUGGGCAUCUCAAGGCUGCCAGGAAAUUCCCCAAACUUCGUGUCAAGGAUGCCGAUGCUACGGCUCUGAAUGUCUUCAAGAUUCUCCGGGACAGUCCAGUCGAUGGUCAUAAAGAUGUAACCCUUCGUGAAGUGCGCAUGACUCUGAGGACCUUGGCUGAGAUUCAGGAAGAAGAAGAAUGAAGAUGGCGCUACUAGGAAGCAAUAUCGUCUCUUGCUCUAAUAUGAACUAGCUUUGCAGUAUUGUAGUAUUUGAAUCUUUCCUAUGUUGUCGCUCUGUGUCUCGAUCUUCAAAACUGCUGGACGGAUGUGAUGUUUUGCUAUUUUCUUGCUUCGCAAGGUUGAAUCGUCCUUUGAUCUUGACAUGCCCACCAGAUUCGAGUGUAAGCUUUGGGGCUAGCAAUAGGGGCGGCAUGUACUUGGUAUUCGUAAGAUUUGCUGGAUGCUUGUACUCAGUUUCCUUAAAUUAUAAAAUACUAUAUGGUAAUGGAAUGGAUCAUUUGGAAAGAAAGAAGAUUUGAUUGGUGGUGCAAGCCAUUGAUGAUCA